rnacentral:rRNA from 1 species
GACGAACGCUGGCGGCGUGCCUAAUACAUGCAAGUCGAGCGAGUGGAUUAAGAGCUUGCUCUUAUGAAGUUAGCGGCGGACGGGUGAGUAACACGUGGGUAACCUGCCCAUAAGACUGGGAUAACUCCGGGAAACCGGGGCUAAUACCGGAUAACAUUUUGAACCGCAUGGUUCGAAAUUGAAAGGCGGCUUCGGCUGUCACUUAUGGAUGGACCCGCGUCGCAUUAGCUAGUUGGUGAGGUAACGGCUCACCAAGGCAACGAUGCGUAGCCGACCUGAGAGGGUGAUCGGCCACACUGGGACUGAGACACGUCCCAGACUCCUACGGGAGGCAGCAGUAGGGAAUCUUCCGAAAUGGACGAAAGUCUGACGGAGCAACGCCGCGUGAGUGAUGAAGGCUUUCGGGUCGUAAAACUCUGUUGUUAGGGAAGAACAAGUGCUAGUUGAAUAAGCUGGCACCUUGACGGUACCUAACCAGAAAGCCACGGCUAACUACGUGCCAGCAGCCGCCGUAA